rnacentral:rRNA from 1 species
CUCUUUUUGAUUUAUAUAUAAAGUAUAACCUGCCCACUGAUAUUUUUAACGGCCGCAGUAUUUUGACUGUGCAAAGGUAGCAUAAUAAUUAGUUUUUUAAUUAAAAGCUUGUAUGAAUGGUUGAACGAGGUAAAUUCUGUCUUUAAUUGAUUAAUUGUUGAAUUUAAUUUUUAAGUUAAAAAGCUUAAAUUUUUUUAAAAGACGAGAAGACCCUAUAGAUCUUUAUUAUUUAAUUUAAAAAAUUUAUUUAGAAAUUUAUAUGUUUUUUAGUUUUAAUAAUUUUAUUGGGGUAAUAUAAAGAUUUAAAAAAUUCUUUAUUUUAAAACCAUAAAUUUAUGAUUUAUUUGAUCCAAUUUUAUUGAUUAUAAGAUUAAGUUACCUUAGGGAUAACAGCGUAAUUUUUUUAAAGAGUUCUUAUCGAUAAAAAAGAUUGCGACCUCGAUGUUGGAUUAAAAGUAAUUUUAGGUGUAGAAGCUUAAAGUUUUGGUCUGUUCGACCAUUAAAUUUUU